CCACUACUGAGGAGUCUUAGAAUAGGACGAAAUGGCCGUCGAGUGU
rfam:Schistosoma margrebowiei strain Zambia genome assembly, scaffold: SMRZ_contig0003035